GUCUGGAGAUGCGGAUGCCCCCGCAUAGCGCGGCGCCAAUGGCACUCGUGGGAUCCUUCAUCACCCAAGGUAAACCUGUGCUUGACUUCCUUUCUUAUGCUCCUCAUGUUUUGUUGGUUGUUACCUACCAUUAGAUUGGAUGUUUGUUCUCUGGCUGUACAUAGUCAAUUCUGGUGAGCUAUUUUGGACUAAUGAGGUUUGUGGGGUCAAUAAGUAUGGCACAAACUGUGUUGAUCUUCAACGCACGUAUGCUUUCCUAAAUUGGAUUGAUUUGCCGACGUCGAGUUAGUGUGCACCAGCGGGCGUAGCUUCGCCUAUGUCAACUUUCACUGUUCCUCCCCUAAGGUCGUGACCAAGUUAUUCUCCACCGUAAGCAUCCACCACCCCAUCAGCAAUCUCAUUGUAACUAUUUUUCUACACUUCGACAACAAUUAAUAGUAGCGGAUUGGGAUUUUGUUGAUUAUCCGCAUUAGCCGUGUGUGUUCUCUGGUUUGAAUGGAGAAUUUUGUGUUAGGCGAGUAGAGCUUUACCAACUUAAUAACAGAGGAUGGUGCUUGCACUUGUUGUGGGUGUUGAUGGUUCCCAUGUCUUGGUUCCUUGGAAUGGCGAUUCAAGAAACAUCAUCGUGUUGAUUGACCAUAGGGUGAUUGACCAAGCCAAGUGAAUUAAUUCUCACAGUUCAUCAGUAUUGCAAUUUUAUGGUGGGAGCGUCUCCCCAGAAAUCUCUACUCCUAAGGUAACCAGUUUUUUCUCCAUGAAUAUGAUUCUCCAACUUCCUGAUUCAUUAUUUGUAAAAAACACUAAUGAUAUUGUUGGGCCUCUGAACCAUUGUGUUGAUUGCCAUGUUUUGCUUGAAUAUCUCAGAAUGUCCGAAUUCUAGCAUUUGAAAAGUUGAACAACACAAUGUUACUGAAAAUAUGUUGGAUUGCGUGAAGAAUACGGAUAAAUAGUUUUGAAUUAUUUUGUAGCGAGACACAUGCACCUGGUGUUGUCUACCUUAUCCAACACCUAUCGAUAAUGUCAAUAAGAUACAAUAUUGUUAUGGAAAGUCCAUAACAAACUAAUUCCAACAUUAUGUGAUUUGCUGACACAUCUCAUGGUAUCGAUAUUAAUAAAGGUUUUCUGUUAUAAGUUUUACUGUGAGACUAGGCAUCUUUUGUUUUCAAAACAAUAGACUCAUGCAUAGUUAAUUUGACUUGAAUGAAGCAGGUAUUCUCAUUCCAUAUUUUUAUUUGCUUUCAUGCACAAAGGCUACUUGAUCUUGGUAAGCUUCAGGAGAUUGCUGUAAAAUCUGUACGAGUAUGUGAACGUGAGAAAUCAAGCUCUCCCAUAUGAACAUUCCUUGUACCGUUGGAUAUGACCCAGCAAGCAAUAUGAUUACCAUGCGAAUGAAGCGAAAGACAACAUUCCUGACGUUUGUGUUCAUCAAUAUCUCAAACGCAUAAGUAUGUCUUAGUUUGUAACUGAUAAUUAUCAUCGAUCUCUUUAUAUACAUUGUUGAUUACAUUGUAAAUGGACUGAAGUUCAAUUUUUAUAUACAUGUCAAAUUCUGGCAUUGAUCUCUUUAUAUACAUUAUUUAUUAUUUUGACGGGUACUACGGCGAGCUUCCACCUGCUUGAGCUAUAUGCAUUAUCUUUAUAUAUGUAAAAUCAGGAAAGGAAGAAGCCCGUGGCAACGCACGGACGUUCUACUAGUAUAAAAUUAAAGAGGAGUGUUGGG
rnacentral:lncRNA from 1 species